UACGGAGGGUGCAAGCGUUAUCCGGAUUUACUGGGUUUAAAGGGUGUGUAGGCGGACUUUUAAGUCAGCGGUGAAAUCUCCGGGCUCAACCCGGAAACUGCCAUUGAUACUAUUGGUCUUGAAUGUUGUUGAGGUGGGCGGAACGGGUCAUGUAGCGGUGAAAUGCAUAGAUAUGACCCGGAACACCGAUUGCGAAGGCAGCCCACUAAGCAACAUGAUGCUGAGGCACGAAAGCGUGGGGAUCAAACAGGGA
rnacentral:rRNA from 1 species